rnacentral:rRNA from 1 species
AUUGAACGCUGGCGGAAUGCUUUACACAUGCAAGUCGAACGGCAGCACGGGGCAACCUGGUGGCGAGUGGCGAACGGGUGAGUAAUACAUCGGAACGUGCCCAAUCGUGGGGGAUAACGUAGCGAAAGUUACGCUAAUACCGCAUACGAUCUACGGAUGAAAGCGGGGGAUCGCAAGACCUCGCGCGAAUGGAGCGGCCGAUGUCAGAUUAGGUAGUUGGUGGGGUAAAGGCUCACAAAGCCAACGAUCUGUAGCAGGUCUGUGAGGACGACCAGCCACGCUGGAAGUGAGACACGCCCCAGACCCCUACGGGAGGCAACAGUGGGGAAUGUUGGACAAUGGGCGCAAGCCUGAUCCAGCCAUUCCGCGUGCAGGAUGAAGGCCUUCGGGUUGUAAACUGCUUUUGUACGGAACGAAACGUCUCUCGCUAAUACAGGGGGCUAAUUACGGUACCGUAAGAAUAAGCACCGGCUAACUACGUGCCAGCCGCCGCCGUAAAAC